rnacentral:rRNA from 1 species
UUGACCUCGAAUCAGGUAGGAAUACCCGCUGAACUUAAGCAUAUCAAUAAGCGGAGGAAAAGAAACCAACCGGGAUUACCUCAGUAACGGCGAGUGAAGCGGUAACAGCUCAAAUUUGAAAUCUGGCUCCUCUGGAGUCCGAGUUGUAAUUUGUAGAAGAUGCUUUGGGUUGUGGACUCGGCCUAAGUUCCUUGGAACAGGACGUCAUAGAGGGUGAGAAUCCCGUAUGCGGCCGAGGCCCGCGCCUAUGUAAAGCUCUUUCGACGAGUCGAGUUGUUUGGGAAUGCAGCUCAAAAUGGGUGGUAAAUUUCAUCUAAAGCUAAAUAUGGGCCAGAGACCGAUAGCGCACAAGUAGAGUGAUCGAAAGAUGAAAAGCACUUUGGAAAGAGAGUUAAACAGUACGUGAAAUUGUUGAAAGGGAAGCGCUUGCAACCAGACUUGGGCGCUGCCGAUCACCCCGAGUUCUCUCAGGUGCACUCGACAGCGCACAGGCCAGCAUCGGUUCGGGUGGCUGGAUAAAGG